rnacentral:rRNA from 1 species
UACAGAGGUCUCAAGCGUUGUUCGGAUUCAUUGGGCGUAAAGGGUGCGUAGGUGGCGUGGUAAGUCGGGUGUGAAAUUUCGGAGCUUAACUCCGAAACUGCAUUCGAUACUGCCGUGCUUGAGGACUGGAGAGGAGACUGGAAUUUACGGUGUAGCAGUGAAAUGCGUAGAGAUCGUAAGGAAGACCAGUGGCGAAGGCGGGUCUCUGGACAGUUCCUGACACUGAUGCACGAAGGCCAGGGGAGCAAACGGG